rnacentral:misc_RNA from 1 species
UAAAACCUUGAUAUAUAGUUGGCACAGGAACAAAUCUAUCCCUACCCUUUUUAUUCAACACAAGCUGACGAAACAUCCUUGAUGUCUACAAUGGACAUGUUCUAGACCUGCUAUUGGCUGUCCCUUAGAAUUACUUUACUGUAUAUCGCACUCCAUUGUCGGUUAUGCUUGUGAUGCACAGCCCCACCUCUGUCCACGUGUCCUUAUACACUCCACUAGCCUUCCACGUGUCUUCUCCUUCUACUAAAAAAAAAACCCAAUAAUUACAGUUCUGCCACUCAAAGAAUCCUGAUCUAUCCUAUCAAUCAUCAAAGGAGUCCGUUACGAUUUACAACACCAAUUGCAACGCUAACUAUUAUAUCAUAUCUCGUUAUCUUUGCCCGUUUUGAUCAAACGGCUUCGAAACUACUUUUGCCAAAAACAAGCAACUUUACUUACGCUAAACUGUGAGUUAUGCUGUGGAAGUAAAACCCACUUUCUGGGGCUCUCUCAAUUCCCCUACUUCUAUAUAAUCUUCUCCUCCUCCCCUUGGCAUGUGUUGCUUCGGGUUUUAUA